rnacentral:lncRNA from 1 species
UGUAUGGCUUAAAGAGUGAUAAUAGACAUUUAUAAUGUACACCUAAAAAAAGAAGCUAGCUCAAUGGCCCAAAUGUUCUGUAUCACUGUGCAGGCUUCUUUGAAACAAACUUUUGCUUCACAAUAUGAACAAAAACGAGUGGUGACCUCGGGCUCACACUGCAUCUGGUCCAGCUCUGAACAUCAGAGUGGUCUAGCUAAAGGAGAUGACUCACGUUGGCUACAGAUGGAGCACAGUCUCUACUGCCCACCUCUCGAAACUCUAAACUCACAUAGUACUUCAACAACAACAGUCGGUCAGCUGGCAGAAAGGUCUUGGAUUCAUGUUAAGGCAGCAAUUCAAGAACUCAAGUGUGGUCACAGGAGGUCAUUAAUAGCUCCAACUUCACAAAAAGUGCUGCAACUCAGCUCUGGGACCCAGCAGAAAUUUCAACCCAACAAAAUGGAUUCAGAAGCGCCGGAGAGGCCAGAUCACAGAGGCCAGAUGUGAUCGCAUGCAGUGAGGUUCCUCUCACAGAAAUAUUGAUGAUGUCAUAAAGGGGACCAUACAUAAACACAUUCAUCUCACAGGACCGGAUGUUUUUCAUCUGCAGUCCACUGGCAUGCCAACACAACAGCAGAGCACAAAUUAUAACAAUAAAUCAACAUGCUCUCAAGCUUGAACUCCCACUGAGUUAAGCGCAGAAACGGAACCAGUCAUGGUAAUAAAAGCUGACAUUAAUUAUGUAAUCAUAUUUGUCCUUUUUUAAACUCCAACAUGUUUACUUAGAAUGUUUCUUUUGUGGACAGUCCCUCUUGUCCUUCAUCUCUGACUUCUGCUUCUCCCUAACUUCAGCUGCUACACUCUGACCUCCGCAUGUACCCAACCUUUGACCUAUUCUGUGAGGGCGAUAUUGGCCAUCAUCUGUGCA